CACGUAGGGAGCAAGCGUUGUCCGGAUUUAUUGGGCGUAAAGAGCUCGUAGGCUGUUCGAUAAGUCGGGUGUGAAACCUCCAGGCUCAACCUGGAGACGCCACCCGAUACUGUCAUGACUAGAGUCCGGUAGGGGAGCGUGGAAUUCCUGGUGUAGCGGUGAAAUGCGCAGAGAUCAGCAGGAACACCCGUGGCGAAGGCGGCUUCCUGGGCCGCGCCUGACGCUGAGACGCGAAAGCGUGGGGAGCGAACGGG
rnacentral:rRNA from 1 species